AAGCCCUACAGGAAAAGCUCAAAGAAAUAAUAUCACGUGGAAACCUCUCCCUAUCGGUGGGCUUAGGCUGUUACAUGUAGUCAUGUAUGACAGGCGUGUUGCUGCAAUGCUUGAGGAUGAUUCAAUUUCUGAUGAAUUUAUCUGGAGAGAAAUCUAUGAUGGAAAGAAAUAUUUAUAUCCUAGGUUAUUAUUCAUCAUUACUGAUAACUGCUUUUCACCUACUGAGGUACUACUUUCGCUUGGACAUAUCUAAAUUAGAAACCUUCCACUGUUUAUAAAGGUAAAGAGCCCGUCAAGUAUGAAGAUAAGAUCAGUAAAUUACACCUUAGCGUGUGCCAUUUCGUACAAUGUGGCUGUCUGCAGAUCACUUCUCGGUAGUUUGUACAACGGUUUCCCCCCUUCUUAUUUUAUCUUGCUGACAAAGAUUAAUAACUAUAUGCACUUAUAUCAUAUUUUCUCAGGAGCAGCAGAUCUAGGCGUUUGUUUGCAUAUUUCUUCAUCAGGCUUGGAUCUUCCAAUGAAGGUAUGCAUUAGACGUCUUACCCAUUAAGGGAUGCUAUUUAAUUGAGAAUCAAAGGAUCCUAUUUAAUCAUCAACAUUUGCUUCCAUGAAAUGCUAUAUUUCCAUCUUUGAAAUUUAUAAAAGCUACGUUCACAUAUUGUAUUGUAUUUGAUGGAAUGGCAAUUCCGAUUAUAUGCGCAUCCACGAGAAAAGAGAGAAGAACGUAAAGCUUAUAUUAUAACGUCAAUGUGAUUACUUAGGAUCUUAAAAACAUUAACAUUUUAAAGACUGAUAAUAAUAAACUGAACAACCAACAAAAAUGCUUAAUAUUCAGAACAUUGACCCACAAAACAUAUUCCAAUAACAAAAGUACCUGAGUAGUCCAUACAAACACGCAAAACGAAAAAUAAAAACAGUCGAAAAAGAAAAAAAAAAAAA